CCCGCCCCCCUUUCCCUCACACGUGCGCACCAAAUCCGGGGCGACGGCGACCACGGGAGAUGGCGACAGCGACUCUGGGCGACGUAGUACGGCGACGACGGCAGCCCCAGCAACCGCUCCCGGCGGCGAGUCCCCCUGUUUGUCGCCAUGUCUAAUGGUGCGUACAAGAUGCAGCCUGAGGCCCAUGAGUCAAGCUCUAGGUGGGAUCUGGAGGAAUUUUCCCUUGGAGUGGAGACUGGGCUACCACUGAUUCCAUGCCCAGAAUGUGGCCUUGCUAGGGUGAUAGAGCGGCGCACAAUGAAGGAGGGGAAGAAUCAUAUGCGUGUGUACUUUAAAUGUCCGCGGAACGGGAUUUUAAAGGCAGUAUUUGAAUAAGCUGAAGGAGCUUGGCAUUGUAACAAUUCGGACUUUAGCAGAACUUGCUUGUGAUGAUGAAGGUGCAGCAGAUGCUACCUCUGGCCAUGCUGACAUGCAAGUGGAGGUGGGAGAAAAGGAGCCAAAGAGACUUGCAAAGAUGGAAGAAAAGAUGGAGGAUAUCAUGUGAAAGUUCAACCUGUUAAUGUUGUUGUUAGCUGUGCUUAAUAGUGUGUUCAUGUACAUUGCAACGAAAUUGAUGUAGAUUGGUCUUUGUUGCAGUGUAUGGUGGCUUAUGUAUCAUGCAUCAGUGCAACAGGCAGCUGUUCAACUUGUUGAUCUUGUGGGACUCUCUCUUCUUGGCUGCUUGGCCCAGCACCUAGGGACAACCUCCUGCGAAUACAAAAGUUUCAGUUUUGAUUCUCAAA